UAGCACCAGGCAUGGGCACAUACGCUUUGUGGGUCCCGGCCCACCCUUGUCACGCAUACCCAUGCGUGUCCUGAGUUGCUCCCACAUGCACAUCCGGAUUGUGUACAUAUUUGGGGGUCUCAGCACCCCUUCUUGUGUGUUGUGGAACACAGGCUUGCAUGCCUGGCAAAUGUGAUCCUGUCCUGACUGGGCUGCCAAGCUCCCAGCACCCCCCCCCCCACGCCUGUGUACACCCAAGUACAUCCCCACUUUCCUGUCCACACGAACCUGUCCCUAGUCAUCUCAGUGCCCACGAGUCCGAGGCCCACGAGCACACACAUGCGCCACACCUGGCAGCACGCACAGUCUGCUCAUCCCCCACCCUGGCUCUGGGCCCCGAGGAUUGGGGCCAGCUGGGUGACUGGAGUCUACCAGGACGGCCCCACUUUUGCGCCCCCGCCUGGCGGCCGCCAGGUGCACCAUCCCAGCCCCGCCUGGCCGGGAGGGGGCGGUAAUUACGCGGCCCCGGGGUACCCCACCACCACUACAAGUCUUUCAUCCUGGACCACUCCCGUCCCUGGUCGAGACGCUCAUUAUCGCCUCCCGCCCGGUCAUUAGCCGGGGUCGGGAAAGGACCCAGCGUCCGGCGGGCCCGGCCCCGCGGGGAAGGCGGAGGAGAAGCGGCCCUGCCCCCACCUAUAUAGCGACGCCUCGCAGAGGGAGGGCGGGGCUGCCAGCCCUGGGGUGGAGUGGGCGAAACCCUCGGGAUGGGGGGCGCCCCGUCGGAGACAGCUGGCUGGGGAGGGGGCAGGUUUGUGAAAAAGCCGACCGCUGCGCAGAGCCGGGGAAAUGCGGAGAUGAAGAGACAGGGAGACUCCCGGCCGAGGCCGAGUCCUCGAGGGGCAGGGGCGAGUCCCAAGCGUCUAUACAGGAAUAGCAACCCCACUCCGGCCCGGCAUAGUCGCGGGGCGAGCUGGGGAAGGCAACAGGGCUCUGAGGUCCCCACGCCAGGGAGGUACUCGCCCUGCGGGUUGGCCGUCCUGACCCGCGAGGGCUGGGGGCGGUAGAAGGACCCGACACUCCACGCGAGGCCACGCAGCUGGCGAUUGCCCUGAAGGGCGGGACCUGGGAGCUGGUCGCAAAAGCUUCAGCCACGCCGACAGCGAGGCUGCGGCGCCCCCUUGUGUCAGCGCCGGGCUAUGAGCCUGGCCUCGAGUUCAUCGUGUAGGGGUGGCAGACGGGGUGAGAAGGGGUCCUCACCUCCUGCAAGCCCCGCACGAGGAUAGUGAGUCACGGUGACACGCCGAGACUGAUGUACACGCAGACAGGACACCACAGAGGCACAGGCUCGGAGACCGGUACAAAGCUGAGACUCGAGCACCCUGUGGAGGGGCAGAAGCGCAGAGGACAGGCUUCCGCAGUUUCACGUCCACACCUUGCUGGGGACCCCGGACGGCCGUGGGUACUCUCGGGGACCGGCACACAGGAAUUGCUGGUAGUAAGCUGAAUAACUAGGUGCUGGCAGAAUGAGUGAAUGAACACAGGGCUCCACACAAAACCAGGAGGAAGCAGGGACUCAGAACUAGAGGCAAUGUGGGGGCCCAGAAUGACCCCGGAAUUGUGACUACAGAGACGCUUCCCAUCCCUGAGAAACUAUGGCACAAGAAUUUCCUGGCCUAGGAUUCAGAUUGGAAAGGGCGGGCCUGAAUUGCUCCGGGGCGGGGUGUGCCAGUGGUCUAGGCUCCUGAGGGUGUGGGUGGCCCCCUCCACACAGCCAGGGGAGCUGGAUGCUGAUGUCUCUCUGCUCCUUAUAAUAACAGUCCUGCGUGAGUGGCUGACGCAGCAGCAGGUUGCUGCUGACGGGGAGGCAAGGUGCAGAGGGGGUGGCCAUGAGUCAUGCAACUGCCGGCCUGGGAAGGGGUCCUUGAGCUCUUUGAGGGUACUGGCGACUUGUCACUGGAGAUAGCUGGGUCAUUUCGACCUGCUUGAGUCCGAGGCCUGGGGUGGAGCUGGGAUUUUUCAGGAAAAUGGGGCCUCUUCUUCAAUGACCCUCAACUUUCCUGCAGAGUCCGAGACUUUCUGGGGGAGGAGCUGUAGUGUGGAUCACUGGUCUGGGCAGACAGAGAAGGAUUUACAAUCUUCUUCUUCGACUAGGUGGCCUGGGAGCAGCAUGAGCUAAGCAGGCCAUAAAAGGUCCCCCACCCCAGGAGCAGCCUUAGGGGCAAAGGCCUUUGCAAACUCUUGGGACAUCUAAGGACCAGAGAAGAGAUGCCUUCUAAAGGACAAGACACGGGUGGCAGAGCAUAGAGGGCCCUGACCUCCGGGUGGGUAGUCAGUAGGUUGUGGUUGUGGAGACCCACGGGAUGGCUGUGACUGGGAUGCCUGGUAGCAGCGGGGAAGCCAAAGGCAGAGCUGGGUUUGGGUAUAUUGGGGACUGCAUGGUGGAGCCACUUGAACAUGGGGUGUCGGUUUGGCACAUAGACCUGGGAUGGACAAAUGCCAGGCCAGGUGAGUGUUGAGAUGCCUGUGAAGUAUCUGCCAGGGAUGGAGAGAGUGAGGUCAGGGAAUAGCUUAGAGUUAGGGGCGGAUGUGGUUGGAUUUGUGGGCACACUGAACUGGGGUGUCCCAAAGUGUUGGGAUGGAGGAAGAAGUGGAGUUGUGGGGAAUAUUGGGGCUCACAUAAAUGGGACUGUCGGUGUUGGGGUUUGGUUGGGUGUUGCGUUUGAUUGCAUGAAAUGGUUCAUUCAGGAGCCUUGGAGUUCUGGGAGUCGGGGGUUAUCAGCUAUAUUGGCAAGUAGAUAAGGGUUGAUGUCAGGAUUCAGAGGAAGUUGGGGUAUCUGAAGUCCAGGGCUCGGAUAGGUAUAGGCAUCUGGAUGAAGUCGAUAUGUUGGGAUUGGAGCGAUACGAGGGGGUGGGUGCCAUGAGGCAGGAGACCCUUUGUUCCUCGCCGCAGGCCAGAGUACGGGCACACGGAAGUGGGUCAGCCCUGCCCCACUGCCCCGACCACGCCCCCGCGCACGGGGGCGGGAGACUGCGGACUGGGAACAUUCCGGCCAAUCAGCACGCCCGGCGCCAGUGCUGGGGGGAGGGGCGGGGCCCGAGUUUGCCCCGCCCCAACUCAUGAAUAUGAGGCGCGAUCGC
rnacentral:lncRNA from 1 species